UACGAAGGGGGCUAGCGUUGCUCGGAAUCACUGGGCGUAAAGCGCACGUAGGCGGAUUGUUAAGUCAGGGGUGAAAUCCUGGAGCUCAACUCCAGAACUGCCUUUGAUACUGGCGGUCUCGAGUCCGGGAGAGGUGAGUGGAACUGCGAGUGUAGAGGUGAAAUUCGUAGAUAUUCGCAAGAACACCAGUGGCGAAGGCGGCUCACUGGCCCGGUACUGACGCUGAGGUGCGAAAGCGUGGGGAGCAACAGGG
rnacentral:rRNA from 1 species